UCGGUACAUAAAUCUUAUAGCGUAAAAGAUAAUUAUAUUGAUAUAUACUAUAAAGCAAAUAACCAAAGCAUAAAAUUUCUUUUACAGUGACACAUGGGCCCACAUCUAUCCAAAAUGCAUCGAAAGCUGGAAACCUACAGCUUUUAUCGAUUCGGGUCCAAAUGAAGGUCCUUGUCAAAGUCAGCUAACUAUGAAAUUCCCCGAGCCUGAAAUGUGAGGAAAUGAGGGUGGUGAGAUUAUAAAAUCCUAGUGAGUAAGCAGAUACCAUCUAAACUAUCUAAAGUCGAGUAAAUGGAGACAAUUAAAAUAAAUCAUCAUAUUGUAAUUUCAUUACCUUUCAACUCAUUUCAACCAAAUAAAAUAAAUCCAUAAAAAUCGAGUAAUCAACUUGGCUUAUGAAUUUCUUAAAACUUUGGCUCAUGCCAAAACUCAUACUCGGUGAUACCUUGCGCAGGGCAUCCAACCGAGUCCGCCAAGGCUGUUAAAAUUUUGUAUACACUUAAAAUAUAUUUUAGUUUGAGAAAAAUACAGCCGUUCCUUGGCAUUGGCUGAGUUCCCCUUCACGUGGUGGUUUGGCAUGAUGUGAACCCUAAGCUAUACCCCAAGAGAUACCCUACGCGCCUCUCCGUUCGAGGUAAUAAUAUAAUGGAGUUUACCGUGCCCCUCUAAUAGGCUGGUCCACGGAACCCCCUCUGCAGUAAAUAAUUAAUAUAUAAUCCACCAAUCAAUAAAAUUCAUUCUAGCAUGACAUGGCAAUUUAUCGCAACCUAGCCUCUCAAGGCUGAAUACACAGUAUAAAUAAUUCUAACACCAAAAUCAGUUUAGCCAUUCAUGCUCAUUUAUUGUCAUAAGCCAUUCAAUUUAAAACCAUAAAUUUGCAACACAAACUAGCAGUCUCCAAUUACUCUAUUUUCAAAACCAAUAUUCGAUUUUCCAGAAAAUUUAUAAAAUCAUUUUAUAAAAUCACAAUUUCUCUUAAAACAUAGCAAUUUACCAUUUAAACCCAUUUUUCAUAAAAUCACACAGUUGUAUAAAACUACUCUAGAUAAUUAAGACGAUAAUAAGUUUACUCACAGUGUCUAGAAUGCAGACUUUCGAAGCACUCUGUCUACUGGUCCUCGGAUGCAAUUUCCUUGCCUUUAUUGGAGGACUCACCACCUUGACACAGUACAAAAUCGAGAAUUUCACUAAGUUGGUACUAAAUCAAAAUUAAACUAAUUUGGACUACCAAUGCAUGAUAUGGAAUGCAAAAAUGCACUGGUAACUAUCUAAAUCCGGUAUUAGCCUAAUUCGUCUUAUCACCCGAUUAAAUUCCUAACGGGUUCGUUUAAACUCCAAUUUAAUUCUUUUCAGUUUCUAUACCUCAAUUGCACCCAAAUUAACUUAAUGUCCCUCAGUGUGAUGCAAAUUAUCAGUCCCAACAGCAAAUUACGAAAAUACCCCUAGUGGGUAAAAAUUCGUAUUUUUGCUCCGAAAAUUCCCAUUAUUUUUCUAGGCUCAUAAUUCAUUAUUCCUUAACCAAUUCUCCUAGAAUAAAAUCAAACUCAUCCUCACUCACUACAUGGUAAAUUCAGCCAUUAAUGGUUGGGGGAGAAAAUAAAUUCUUUUCUUGUUGUUUUGUUUCUAAAUAUGCUAAACUAACUAAAAACACUAACAUAAAUUAAAAUCAAAUAAAUCCAACAACUUUCUCUCUCCUAACCCAUUUUUUCAGAAUUGAAUUCAUCAUGAAAACAUGUAAUUUAAUCAUGGAAAAUAAAGAGAAAUGCUUGGGAAUAAGAAAACUCAAGCUUAAUAGAAAAAAUCUCACCUUUUUCACUUAAUUUCCUUGAAAAUUCACACUUUUUCUUUGAUUUUCUCUCUCUAGGGUUUUGUUUUUUUUUUCUCUCUCUUCUUGCUGGUUUGGCCGGCCAUGGGGUGGAAGAUGGGCUGAUUUUGUGCCUUUUAAAAAGGAAAAUAAUAAAUUAAUAAAGGCAUGACACAUGGCAUCAUGUCAUUGGCCCGUUUUUAAAAUUUUAAAAAUUUAAACAUUUUAUCUCCACCACAUGUUUAGUCAAGGGUCAAAGAUGAAGAUAAAGGAAGACCAUGUGCUGGAAAAAUGUCCUGGUGGUGGAAAAUUACAAUUUUGCCCCUGGGGUGGUAAAAUUAUCAUUUUACCCUUUUAUUCUAAAUUAUACCGAAAUUAAAAUUUUUCACUUCUAAACCUCAAAUCUUACUCCAAUAAGUCAAAUUAUACUCCAAUAAGUCAAAUGGGGCCAAAAAAAUCUUUUCUAAAAUUCCCAUUUUGUCCCCAGGUGGCAAAUGACCAUUUUGCCCCUAGAUAGCGAAAAUUCCGGUUUGACUCCAAAUUGAUCCUCGAACUCCGAAUCACCAUAUUAAACCAUUUUGGGACUUUAAAAUUCUUAAUUCCAUCGUAAAUUCUCUAUUUGAUCUAGUUCGAAGCUUAAAUCAACUUUAUUGUACCUCUAGGUACAAUACCGACUUUUGUAAAUUUUUCGGGACUCUCCUAGCAUGCAAACAUGCUAUCCAUCACAUGCAUGUCAUGAUAAAUAUUUUUAUAGAGUCGGGCUUGUCAUCUUCUCCCCUACUUGGAUCAACCAUAUGAUCUUUCUUCUUGAUUGACUUCGACAUCCUACUAAAUAUUAAUAUUUUAAUAUUAUUUUAUUAAUAAAAUAUUAUUUUAUUCUAAAAAUUUUAUCUUGUCUCCUUGGUACCCAAAAUACCUUAUUAUGCCUCACUUGACUUUCAAAUCGCCCUUUUAUCUCACAAAUUCUCCUCCGAUAAAAUUAUUAUUAUUUUAUUAUUAUUUUCUCACUUGCGAAAUAUUUUAUCCUAAACUACUCUCGUCUUUUAUCACUUCUAAACAUUUUAAUUGACCUCAAUUUGCAUUCGAUCAACUUUAUUUAUCACCAUAUCAAAGUAUGGGGUAUUUCACCCCAUGUCCAUUUGGAGCAUUAGUUAAAGUUAGAGUUGAUCAAAAGAAUCAACAAGGAUAAGUGAGUAAACUUGCAUUAAAUUAUUUUUGAGAAAUACAUAUAGGUUGAGAUGAAGCACUUAAAUGAUUAUAUUUUACCUUUUUUCUCUAAAUCAUGCUUGGGAACAAGCCCUCGAUGAAACAUUUUAUGUUAUAAAAUGUGUAAUGUGAUGAACCCAUGUGUUCCUAUAUUUUGAUGAUAUAUAUAUAUUAUGCUUUGAAUGAUAAUAUUGUGUGAUAAUUGUAAUUGCGCGUGUACGGUGUGGGGGUGCACAUGCUGGUGAUGACGAAUGAUUCCAACUAUGUGCGUUGUGGGAGUGCACAUGAGCUGAUGCUCGGUGGAUGAUGAUUCCAACUAUGUGCGGUGUGAGAGUGCACAUGAGCUGAUGUCUGGUGGAUGAUGAUUCUAGCUAUGUGCAGUGUGGGAGUGCACAUGAGCUGAUGACUGGUGGAUGAUUACAUGUUUAAACAUACCAUAGAAAUGCUAGAGAAAAUAUUAUGUGAUUGCAAUGAAUGUUGAAUGUUGAAAUUGUUAAUUGCUUCCAAAAUGAUUUUCAAUGCAACGAGAAAUUCUCUGUCUUGCUUGUCUUCCUUGGAUAUUUGCUGUAGUUUUCACUCUUUUCAACUUCGUUGUUGAUCAUAGAUCCUUCAUUCUAAGGGAUUAAAUAACCAAAGGUUGAAUUAAGGGGCUUUACAAGAAAUUAACCUAAAUUGCAUUGUUUUUAACAUAAGUGCAUCAUGUUUUCUGCAACUUUCCAUAUCGUUUACUUGUUCCCUUCCUAUGUUCACUCACUAGGUUUAUACUCACUCUUUUAAACUUCAUGUUUGCAGAGUCGAAGGCAGUUGGGACCUAGAUUGAGGUGUCCAUGUAUAUUCAUCUUUUUGGUAGGUACCAUGGCAUUCAGUAGUUGUACCUUCACCCAAAGUCACUUCGCUGAUAGUCAAGAGUCUUUUGCCUGUGUAUGCGUACACGUGCUAUAAAUCACUAAGAUUCAUAGUAUAAACAAUAUAUGUAUAUUUUGAUUGAUGAUGCCAAUAUGAGUUGAUAAUGGGUGAUAUUAUUUUGGAUGAUCUAAAUACAAGUAGUUGAUUGCCAUAGUAUAUCACUGAAUAAUUUUAUAGUUGAGAAUUACGAAAUGUGACUUUAAGAAUGAUUGUUGAAAUGACGAUCGAGAUUACAUAAAGAGGCUUGCUUGGGCUUAGUGGGUUAUUUCCAUUAGGCCCAUGGAUCGACCAUGGGCUUAAAAUUGGCCUGUGACAAAGUUUGUAUGAGAGCCCUGGGUUGUUUAGGCCCUAAGAUUUUCAUUAUUGAUCCAAUGAAGUAUCGAGGUCUUUAUGUGGAAACUUCAAUCGUAAAUUGUGAACCGCGACACAUUUUACAACCAAGAAACCGCAUAGAUUCUUUAUUCUAGAAACCACAUUUCCCCUUAAGUAUAAUUAUAACUUGUGUUUAAUAAUAGGUGUUUUCUCUUGUCUAGGUAAGAAUGCCGCCUAAGACACAAGCCACCUCGAGAAGGACGAGGGAGCAAGAUGCUCCUAACGAGAUGAUGGUAAGCCACGGGCUCCCACCCUUAGGGGGAGAGGCAGACGUGGCAGGACCACUAGGUCGGUGAUGGUAGAUAUGCUUAUGAGUAGACAUGAGGAAGAAUAGUCUUUAGGUGAUUAGAUAGACAUCCAAUUGGGGGCAUUACUAUCGAAGACUUCGUUGCAGGUUUGCAAGGAGUUAAUAAGGUUGUGGAGAUGAUGGCAACUCGUAUGGAUGACAUACAAAGAAUAGUAGAGAGGAGACAUGUAACACAAAAGUCCCUUAGUUUACAAGGACAAGUUGAUUGCCAUCAUCUAGAGGUUGAGAAGGUCAUGUGGAGGUUUCAUUUCCUGAUUUCCUGAAGCUUAAGCCUCUAUCGUUUACAGGGUCUGAUGCAUUGAAAAAAGCCCAGGUUUUCUUAUACAGUAUGGAAAAAAUUUGUGAUACCUUGGGAUGCUCUAGUACCAGAUCAGUUAAAUUAGUCACUUUUCGAUUUGAGGAUGUGGCACAAGAGUGGUAUGGUUCCCUGCAUAGAGGUAGGCCAACUGGUGCGACCUCGUUGAGUUGGGAUGAGUUUAGUACAGUGUUCUUGGAUUGAUUCUUACCAAUCAGUGUGCGUAAUGCAUGAGCUAGGGAGUUUGAGGCCUUAGUACAAACCCCAGGUAUGAUGGUGUCGGAAUACGACAUCAAAUUCACAUAGUUGGCACAAUAUACGCCUUAUCUAGUUUCUACUGAAAAGAUAAAGAUUCAAAGAUUUGUGGAUGGGCUAGUGGAGCCAUUGUUUAGGGCUGUAGCAUCUAAGGAUUUUGAUAGCUACUCUGCAACUAUGGAUUGCAUGUAAAACCCGACCCUAUAAACACAUAUCAUGAUAUACAUGCACUGAGUAGCAUGUUAUUACGCUAGGAAAGUUCCUAAGAAUAGAUGAAACCCGGUAUUGUACCUAAUGGUACACUUAAGUUGAUUUAACUUUGAACUAGUUCAAAUAGAAAUCGUAGGAUGAAAUUUAAUAUUUUACAGUCUAGGAAUGACUAAAAAUGAUUGUUCGGAGUUCGAGGGUUCAUUUGGGGAAAAAUUGAAAAUUUUGAUGUUUAGGGGCAAAAUCAUCAUUUUGACACCUAAGAUAAUAAUUUGAUCAUGGAGUGAAAUUUUUGAUCAAGAUUAACUAUUUGGAGUAUAAUUUAAUGAUAGGAAGUGAAAAUUUUCAAUUUCGGCAUUUUUCGAAACAUAGGGGCAAAACGAUAAUUUUGUCACCUCGGGGUAAAAACCGUAAUUAUCACCACCCAAAACUUGUCAAAAUUAUAGUAUUUAUUUAUUUUUGGUAUGAAUAACUAUGGUAUUUCAAGUGGUGAAGAGUAGAAGUUUAAUGGAUGAAAUUUUAAAAACGGGCCAAUGGGAAAGUGACACAUGGCACUUUUUAAUGAUUUAAUAAUUUUUUAAAGGAAAGUCAACCCAUUUAAACCCCACAUCAGGUGAUGGCUGGCCAUAAGGAAAGAACAAGAGAGAAAAUAGAGAGGAAAGGAAGAAAAGAGAAAAACCAAAGGAAAACUAGAAAAUUCAAAGGGAAAAUCGCGUUUUUUGACCGUUUACCCGUCUAACGGUAAGAUUUUUCGACUUUAGCUUGAUUUCUACCUUUCUUAUGCCUUUGUUUCCAUUUAGCAUGCUUGAGGAGUGAGAUCAAAAAGUGAUACCAAGGGCUGGCCGAAUUUCAAGGGAGAGGAAUUUGAAAUUCUUAUGUUUUGAUUUUUAGUUAAAUUGAUAGUUUUAGUUAGUUAAAUGUGUAUAGAAAUCAAAUUGGGCAAGAAAACAUGAAAUUUUCACAAUACCCACCCUUGGCCAAAACUUCAAUGAUGUACAAUGAUGAAGAACUGAUUUUUAUUCUAAAAGAAAUGAAGAGAAAAUGAUGAAAAAUGGUUAAAUGUGAUAGAAAAACAAAGUGGAAAAUUUACUUAGUUAAUGUCCCAUUUUUGGCCGAAUUUUCCAAGGAGAAAAGUGAGCUGAUUUUGGUGAUUUUAGAGGAUUAUUGGAUGAUAUUUAAUGUUUAGAAAUGUUGGAGAGAAAAUGGGACAACUUAGAGCUAAAAUAGAGUGCGUUAGCAAUUUAUCGGGUAAAGUGCCAAAAAUAGGUUAAUACCGCGUUUAAGCCGUUUUAGGCUAUUGCAUUUCAUACCAUGCAUUAGUAUAGGAUUUAAGUCAAUUAUAUAGUGAUUUAGCAUCAAUGUGGUGAAUUAUGAAAUUUUUGCAAUGUGUCUAGGAGGAGAGCCUUCCGGUAAAGGCAAGGAAGUCAUACCCGAUGAACAGUGAUCGGGGCACCUAGAAAGCAUUUAAUUUGUACAAACGGUGAGUAAACUAUUAUUAUUGUAAAUUAUCUAGAGUUUAUUUUUAAAUGCUCUUCAUGGAUUUUAUGAAACGAAAAUGAGAUUAAAAUGGGAUUUUUGAUGUUUUAGAAAUAAAUGUGACAAAUAAAUAUAUUGUCUUGAUUUUCUGAAAUAAGAAACUAUUGAUUAUAAAAUUGAGUAAUUGGAGGCUUUCAAUUGUAUUGAAAAAUAUAUUUUCCUAUGAGUGGCUUAUGAUAUAUGAGUAUAUGUGGCUAUAUUUUAUAAUUGCAUUGGGAAUUUAUGUAAGCUGUCUUUUACUAUGCAGGCUGGGUAAAUAAAUAAAAGCCACGUUAUACUGUCGAAAUUUUAUUAAAAUUGGUGGGUUUAGUUACUACAGUGACGGGUUUUCGUGGACUGCCUAUUAGAGGGGUACGGUAAACUCGGUUAUAUAGUUACUUCGAUUGUAGAGGCGAGGAGGUUAACUCUUGGAGUAGUGUUAGAGCUCACUUCACGUCGAACCCCCAUGUGAAUGUGUAACUCGACCAACGCCAAGGAACGACUUGUUUUCAAAACUAACAUGUGUUUAACAUGUAAAUAUUUUAACAACCUUGGCAGACUCGGUUAGAUGCCUCGGCCAAGGUAUCCCCGAGGACUAGUUUUUGCUUGAGCCCUAUUUUUAAUAAAAGUUAUAAGCCUGAACAACUGUUUUGGUAUAUUACAAAUAUUUUAUGGUUUAAGAAAUAAAUUGAAACCUUAUGAAAUAGUUUGUAAUUUGUUGUUUAAACUUGCCUCCAUUUUACUCGCCUUUAGAUAUUUAUGAAAAUGUCUGUUUACUCAUUGGGAUUGCAAAAUCUCACCCACCUCCUUUCCAAAUAUUUCAAGCUUGUGGUAGCUUGUAGAUACCCGAUUUUGUUGAGGAUUCUAGUUGACCCCUCUAUCACACAGACAGUAGGUUACUAUCACCAACACUUGGUAUAUUUAUGGGCCACUUGUCAUUGUAAUUAUUAUUGUACAUUAUAACUUUGUAAAUUAUUGUAUGUAUGAAUUUAUUUUACUUCUAAGUUACAAAAGAUUACUUACACGUAUUUCUAUAAAUAUUGUUUUAUAUAAAAAUGCUAUAUUUUUGUCUUUUGAUUUACUUGAGCCGAAAAUGACUGGAAAUUGUUUAAAACUUAUAUGUAAGCCUUGCAGGGUUCUGAUUGGUAUUCCGGGUAAUGAGUAUCAAUCGGGACGUCGCGGCGGUUGUCAUGGGCGCGAGGGAGGUUCCGAGUUGUGACAUUGUGCUCAACGAAUUGAGAUGAGGAGCAUCGAGAUUAGGGUUGUAAGGGAUAGAAAAAAAAGGCCAAGAUAAAGAGCCAUUAAGGUCGUAAAGACUUUAGUAGUGACAUUUCAUCUUUUAGCCAUUAGGGCCCACAUCGGGACUCACGGUUACCCCAACAGGAAAGUGGCUCGCCUAGUUCUAGUAUUGGGGUGGGAUAAAAGACCUUCGAUGUUGUGAGAUAGCAAGAUUUAAGGUAGGGUGGCCAGGUUAUCAAUCGUUGCAAUAUUUGUGGAGUACGACAUAGAGGACGAUGCCUUCGCACUAUAGGGGUUUGCUAUACAUGUGGUCAACCUGAACAUAUUAGGAUGAAUGGUCCGAUGGCUCAUCAAUCACAAGGUUUUGCUCACAACUCUACCCAGCCAGCUUCGUCUACUCUUUCAGCAACCGUUUCACCUAACCAGAAGGCUAGUGGAUCGAGAGGUAGAGGUGUUGUUACUUCUUUUUAAAGCAGGCUAUCUGGGUCUGGACAUUAGAGUUCUGUCGAUAGGGGCCACACAAGGGUGUACGCUCUGACAUCGUAGGAGGCCUAAACAUCCAAUGUAGUGGUCUCAGGGACUCUUUCUAUUUGUGAUAUGAAUACUCAAGUAUUGUUUGAUCUUGGUUCUAUGCACUCUUUUAUUUCUCCAUGUUUUGCACCUCGAUUGGGUAAAGAUUGCGUUAUGAGAGAAGAACAAUUAGUGGUGUCUACCCCUUUAAGGGAGGAAUUUAUAGCAAAAUAGGAAUAUAAGUCCUGUGCAGUUCGGGUUAAGGACAAAGACAUUUUGGUCAAUCUAGCGGUAUUAGACACCUUAGAUUUUGAUGUGAUUUUAGGAAUGGAUUGCCAUGCCAGUGUGGAUUGUUAUCAUAAAUCGGUUAGAUUUCAUUUUCCCGAAGAACCAUCAUUUAGUAUUCAAGGGGAUAGAAAUAGUGCUCCAACCAAUUUGAUAUUUGUCAUGUCUACUAAAAGGCUAUUAAGACAGGGUUAUCCAGGUUAUUUGGCUAUUGUGAGACAUACCCAAGCGAAGGUUAGGGAUAUCAACCAAGUAUCAAUAGUGAAUGAGUUUAUAGAUGUAGUUCCAGAUGAACUACGAAGUUGGCCUCUCGAGUAGGAGAUUGAAUUUUGUAUAGACUUGAUUCCCGACACUAGACCCAUAUCCAUACCCUCAUAUCGAAUGACACCUACAGAGCUUAAGGAACUUAAGGAUCAGUUAGAAGAUUUGUUAGAUGAAGGCUUCAUCCACCCCAGCAUCUCACUAUGGGGAGCACUGGUGCUAUUUGUAAAGAAGAAAGAUGGGUGACUUAGAUUGUGUAUUAACUACUGACAUCUUAAUAAAGUGACGGUGAAGAAUAAGUACCCCUUUUUGAGAAUAGAUGAUUUAUUUAACCAACUACAAGGAGCACAAUGUUUCUCUAAGAUAGAUUUACGAUCUGGGUACCAUCAGUUAAAGAUCAGGAAAGAAGACAUACCAAAGACUACAUUUCGAACAAGAUACAGGCACUAUGAGCUUUUAGUGAUGUCAUUUGGGCUUACGAAUGCCCCUAUGGCCUUUAUGGAUUUGAUGAACUGAGUGUUCAAAUCUUAUUUGGACAAGUUUGUGGUGGUAUUUAUUGAUGACAUUUUGAUCAACUCAAGGAGUCGGGCGGAACACGAGCAACACUUUAAGAUAGUGCUCCAAACUUUGAGAGAACAUCAAUUGUAUGCCAAGUUCUCCAAGUGUGAGUUUUGGCUUAAAGAUUUGGAGACAUUAUUUCUGUGGUGAGACUUGCGAGAUAUAUACAGACCAUAAGAGCUUAAAGUAUAUAUUUCAGCAAAGGAUCUUAACUUGCGGCAACAUAGGUGGAUGGAGUUGCUUAAGGAUUAUGAAUGUACUAUUAUCUAUUAUCUCGGUAAGGCUAAUGAAGUGGCGGAUGCCUUAAGUCAAAAGUCGAUGGGUAGUCUGGCACAUAUAUCUGUAGAUAGGAGAUCUUUGAUUCAGGAGAUGCAGGGUUUAGGAGAUAUGGGUGUGCAUUUUGAAGUUUCAGAGACAAAUGCAUUGUUAGCACAUUUUAGAGUUAGACCUAUCUCAAUAGACCAGAUUAGAGAAGCCCAAAGUAAAGAUGAGUUCGUAACUAAGGCCUUGAAGGACCCUUAGGGAGGGAAAGGAAAAAAUGUUUACUAAAGACACAGAUGGAGUAUUGAGGUAUGGGACCGAACUUUAUUUGCCCAAUAGUGAUGGAUUGAGGAGAGAAAUACUAAAGGAGGAGCAAAUGGUAGUGUAUGUGGUACAUCUAGGAGCUACAAAGAUGUACCAAGAUUUGAGAGAAGUACACUGAUGGGAAGGACUUAAGAAAGACGUAGCUGAGUUUGUUUCUAAGUGCCUAGUUUGUCAGCAGGUUAAGGCAAAGCAUUAAAGGCCCGCAAGGCUACUACAACCAUUAUUAGUGCCUGAAUGGAAGUGGGAACAUGUUGCAAUGGACUUUGUAAUGGGUUUGCCUCGAACUAGUAAGGGUUAUGACUCGAUUUGGAUUAUAGUAGAUCGGUUAACAAAGUCAGCUCAUUUUCUUCUGGUUAAAACUACAUACGAGGCUACCCAGUACACUCGAGUUUAUGUGGAUGAGAUAGUACGAUUGCAUGGUAUUCCCAUUUCUAUAGUAUUUGAUAGAGGUACACAAUUCACAAUAGGUUCUGAGGAAAGUUGCAGGAAGCAUUAGGCACUAAGUGGGAUUUCAGCAUAGCUUUCCACCCUUAGAUUGAUGGGCAGUUUGAACGAACAAUAUAGACAUUGGAAGAUAUGCUGAGGGCAUAUAUAAUAAACCUUGGGGUCAUAUGGGAUCAGUAUCUACCAUUAGUAGAGUUUGCUUACAACAAUAACUUCCAAGCUAGCAUCCCAAUGGCACCAUUUGAGGCAUUAUAUGGACGGAAGUGCAGGUCACCCAUUGGGUGGCUAGAAGCAGGAGAAAGUAAACUCUUAGGGUCAGAGUUGGUACAGGAUGCCACCGAAAAGAUACAAAUGAUUCGUUAGAAGAUGUUAUCAAUGCAAAGUAGAAAAAAGUCAUAUGCUAAUAACAGAUAGAGAGACUUAAAGUUUUAAGUGGGGGAUCAUGUAUUUUUUAAGGUCUCACCAACAAAAGAGGUAAUGAGGUUCGGUAAAAAAGGAAAAUUAAGUCCUCGGUAUAUAAGACCCUUCGAGAUCUUAGAUAAGGUUGGAGCAGUAGCAUAUCGAUUAGCAUUAUGGCUGGACCUCUCGAAUAUCCAUCUAGUAUUUCAUGUGUCAAUGCUAAGGAAGUAUGAUCGAGAUCCAUCUCAUGUAAUAUAGUAUGAAACCAUUCAGUUGAGAGAUGAUUAACCUAUGAGGAGGAGCAAUCGAUGGCUAUCCUUGAUAAACAAGUCAAAAGGCUCCAUUCAAAGGAUGUAGCCUUAGUGAAACUGUUAUGGUGAAACGACACCAGUGAAGAGGAAAUGUGGGAAGCUGAAGAAGAGAUGCGGACAAAGUAUCCGCACCUCUUUAAUACAUAGAGGUACGCAACCUUAUAGUUAGAUUUAAAUACGAGGAUUGAAUUUUCUUUUAGUAGGGGAGAAUGUGAAACUUCGACCUCCAUAAAUGCAUAACUAGAGGUAGACUGAUGAGUGCAUCAAAUUCACAUAUUUAAUGGAAGAUUAAAUACCUAAUUAGUCUAAGUUAGACUAGAUUUAGGAUCGAAUUUAUGUAGUUUUAUUUAUUUUAUUAGUUUAGUUUAAUUUAUAUUUAAAUGUUUAUUUUAAGUUAAUGAUGUUAGUUUUACGUUAUUUAUAAUUAUUUUAUGUUUUUAUAAGAGUAGGAUCAAAAAUAAUUUCAAUUGGUGAAGAAAGGUGCAUAAUGGACUAUUGCUUUAUUUGCAUAUGUUUCAGUCUUUCAAGUAUAUCUCAUACUACAAAAGUCUAAAUGAUAUGAGUUUUAAACCAUUAGAAAGAUAAGAGGUAGGGAUACAACUUUGAUGAUUGCCACUUUGCCCAGUUCUACUUAGAAGGUGGUCAAAAUCUUUGUCAAAGUGAAAGCACAGCACUAGAAGAACAAAAAGGGGCAUUUUUGUAAAUUAUGUGAAACUUUGAUUGACUUUAGAGAUAAGUAUCUAAAGUUCUAGCACCUUCUUCAUCUUCCUCUCGUUUCUUCUCUCCUUUUUGUAGAACUUUUCAUCCUUCAUGAAAAGAAACGUUAAAACCUCCAUAACCUUCUUAUACUAACUCCAAAAUCCAUGUUUUUGCACACUUUUUCAUAGGGUUUUUGUUCUCUUUCACUUUUCACCUCAAAAACACUCAAAAAAAGUUUUCUUCUGCACUUUCUCUCAUAGCUGAACAUUUUUAGAGAGGGAAACUCUUGAAAUUAGCUUGAAAACUCUUGAAGGAGUUUUCCCCUUUUUAUCCUCACUAAGAAAAUUCAACUACAAGUCCACUAAGGUGAGAAAUGAGUUAGAGUUGAUUUUAAGUUAUUAAAGAUGGCUAAUAGUUAGAUUUGUGGGCCAUUAUAUUUUUGAUGGUUAUAUUGUGUGUGAUAGGUUCCAACGAGGCCCCACAUGUCUAUUUGGAGCAUUAGUUAAAUUUAGAGUCGAUCAAAAGAAUCAACAAGGACAAGUGAGUGAACUUGCAUUAAAUUAUUUUUGGAAAAUACAUAUAUGUUGAGAUGAAGCACUUAAAUGAUUAUAUUUGACCUUUUUUCUCUAAAUCAUGCCUAGCAACAAGCCCUUGAUGAAACGCUUUAUGUUGUAAAAUGUGUAAUGUGAUGAACCCAUGUGUUCCUAUAUUCUGAUGAUAUAUAUGUUAUGCUGUGAAUGAUAAUACUGCGUGAUAAUUGUAACUGCGCAUGUGUGGUGUGGGAGUGCACAUGCCGAUGAUGACGGGUGAUUCCAACUAUGUGCGGUGUGGGAGUACACAUGAGCUGAUGACCAGUGGAUGAUGAUUCUAGCUAUUAUGUGUGGUGUAGGAGUGCACAUGAGCUAAUGACCGGUGGGUGAUGAUUCCAGGUAUGUGCUGUGUGGGAGUGCACAUGAGUUGAUGAUUGUGGAUGAUUACAUGUUUACACAUACCAUAGAAAUGCUAGAGAAAAAAUUAUGUGAUUGCAAUGAAUGUUGAAUGUUGAAAUUGUUAAUUGCUUCCAAAUUGAUUUAAAAUGAAUGAAAAGCUCUCUGCCUUUCCUGUCUUGCUUGGAUAUUUGCUGUAGUUUUCACUCUUUCAACUUCAUUGUUGAUCAUAGAUCCUUCACUCUAAGGGACUAAAUAACCAAAGAUUGAAUUAAGGGUCUUUACAAGAAAUUAAGCUAAAUUGCAUUGUUUUUAACAUAAGUUCAUCAUGUUUUCUACAACUUUUCGUAUCGUUUGCUUGUUCCCUUCCUAUGUUCACUCACUGGAUUUAUAUUCACUCUUUUAAACUUCAUGUUUUCAGAGUCUAAGGCAAUUGGGACCUAGAUUGAGGUGUUCACAUAUAUUCAUCUUUUUGGUAGGUACUAUGGCAUUCAGUAGUUGUACCUUCACCCAAAGUCACUCCACUGGUAGUCAAGAGUCUUUUGCUUAUUUAUGCAUAAGCAUGAUGUAAAUCACUAAGAUUUGUAGUAUAAACAAUAUAUGUAUAUUUUGAUUGAUGAUGCCAGUAUGAGUUGACAAUAGGUGAUAUUAUUUUGGAUGAUCUAACUGCAAGUAGUUGAUUGCCUUAGUAUAUCACUGAAUAUUUUUAUAGUUGAGAAUUACGAAAUGUGACUUUAGGAAUGAUUGUUGAAAUGAUGAUCAAGAUUACAUAAAGAGGCUUGCUUGGGUUACUGGGCUAUGCCCAUUGGGCCCAUGUGCCAAUCACAGCCCAAAAAUUGGGCUGUGAUAGUUUUGAAGUAUGGUAUUAUCACAACCCAAAUCCUGGGCCAUGAUCGGCACAUGAACCUAAUAGGCAUAGCCCACUAGAUCCAAGCAAGCUUUAUUAGAGAUUCUCGAUAAUUCACUAUACUAGUUCGCCAAUCCAUAUUAGUGCUUAACCCAUAUUCUUUCGUAUCAUAACUUGAACCAUAAUUAUAAUAAUCAAUUCAAUCUUUAAAACAUAUACUCAUGAGUAUAUACAAUGAAGUCUAAAAUCUCCAAUUUAAUGCUUAUACCAAGGCCAUUAUCCAUUUACAAUUAAAUAAACAAAGUGCUAUGACUCGACCUUUAGCAGUAGAGUGACUUGAAAUGAAAUGCUAUGAGAUGCCUUUACCUAUCUGCGAUGGACCAUAAGUGCCGAUGAUUGCAUGCUAGGCUGAUCACUAUCUGUAAAAGGGAAAUAAAGAGGUGAGUCUCACAAACUUAGUGAUCAUCAGCUCCGUGAGCAGGGAGUAGAUGGGAAACAAGCAAUAAGUAGAUCAUUUGAAUGAUAAAGCCAGAAUAUAAAAUGCUAAUCUUAUAAACCAAACCACAAGAAGGAUAUUUGUUCCUUGUAAAAAUAAUAUCAUAAAAUCAUAAUACAAUGCUUUCUUUGGCAAAACAAUGCCAAAAAAAAGUGUAACAGCAAGAGUUCCAAUUACCGAAAAUAUCAUUUGCCAUCAAAAUAUGAAAUACGGUAUAAAGAUAUGCACGCUCCCAAAAUGUGUGACAUGUAAAGAAAUCAAAGUGUAUAACCACAUAAACCAACUCAUGAUUGUCAAGUAAUCACAGAAAGCUUUUAUUUAAACUAGGGGAGCUGUAGAGAAAAUUUGAACCCUCUACCAUGCAAAAAAGUAUGCGUCGAAAAACUCACAAGGCUUUCUAGCAGGAAAGUAUAAUAUCAACACGUAGACCCACUUCCACGUAAUAAUAAUCCGAGAGUCUUACUCCACCGGAUUCCUAAAGCCAUGGCAAUCUCAUGACGUUGGCUGACAUCAGAGAAUCAAGUGGUUGUAAUCACGCACAUUUGGGAGUCUCACUCCACCUGCUCACUUGUGGGCUAGCCACAUAUACAUAUCAUAGGUCGUGGCCCCCACCACGCAUAACCGCUCGUCGGUGACCCAAAGGUUCUUUAGCUAGAGUUCACUUGUGCAUGAGCGUCACACUUAAUCGAAGUGACAGCCGACCUACUCUCGAUGCACUGGGUUUGUUAAAACCAAGUUUCAAAAAUCAAAUCGAGGUUUCCAAGUCUUUUGCAUAAAACCAUUUGAAAACAAGGUUCAAUAACCUUUCAAAUUACUUUUCACAUAAAAAGGCAUGGUGUAUUCUCUUAUACAAAGAUCAAACUAAAACUAGUGCUCAAAACUUGCAUUUUAAAUCAUUUAACUAUUUCAUUUAAACUAUGCAUAUCAUCCAUAAAUAGAAGGCACAAAUUUUGAAUGCAAAACAGUAUAAAAGGCUUGUUUCCCGGUUUCUAAAACACUUUACUUAUAUAGCUCAUCUAUAGAUAUAUCCAAAAUAAUUACCAAAACCACUUGCAUCCACAAUUUCUUACGAGUUCUACCAGCUUCAUGCUUUCCAUAAUAACAGUGUAUAAAUCAUUAUAAAUCCAUUUAGAAAUCACCUAUCGAAGCUAACAGCUCAGGCUUUCCACAAUUACAUUUAAUGAAAUACGGCAACAUUUACAAAAUGUAUAACAUUAUAUAGCUAUGGAAAUUUUUGAAACAGGAACCCCCUACUCACUUUAUAAUAGCGGGACGCUUCGUCGCUAUUGAUUCGGGUGCGUAUCUCACUAUUUCUACUUGCCAGUCACUCGUUACUUCACCCGGCAUGCCACCACGGUAAACUUUUCUACUUAUAUACUUCCUAGCAACAAUCCAAAUUCAAUAAUCUUAGUGCUUAUGAUUCCCAUUUUCCUCCUUAUUCAAACAUUACCAUCAUGUUAAUAACUCAUACUAUGCUAGAAUCACCUCUUUUUCUCACUUAACCUUGCAUAUUCAUAUACAUCUUGACACAUUUUUACCAAAGUUGCCUUUAUGCUUUGCUUGCGUAAUCUUUUAAAUUAUGAUUAUCGGCAACUUAUUUAUGACUCCAAUACAUAUAUUAAUCCUUUCUAAAGAUAUUUAUCAAGUUCAACCAUAAUUUUCACAACAAUAACCUAGCAUAUGGUAGUAACUAUAAAUUUACUUCCAUCAAACAUUUUCUAAGUCUACAUGUACUACCAUUCUCAUUUACAUGUUGCCACCAAGCAUAACAUCAAUAUUCAUUCAUACAAACCAACAUCCAUAACCUUUUAAGUUUUUCUUAACAACACAUAUCCACAUAAUCCAUUUUUUUUCCAAGCUUCCAAUUAAUAUAAUUGCUUUCCAACCAUACCCAUUACAUCACAAUAACACUACAUAUUGCACACAAUCAUCCUCACAAUAUUAAACUAAUCAUAGACUUCAAAUUGUAGCAUUAAGCUUACCACUUGGUUUUUGCUUGGAUUUCACACAACAAAAUUCACAAUUUCCUCACACCCAUGGCCACCAUAGCUACCACAAAAAUACUUACACAAUUACCAACUCAUUUCCAAAAAUUUCUAAAUCUAAAAAUCAAAAUCCUUACCUUAUGUCUUUUGAAUCUUGAAACCCACUUGAUAUUCCUUCAAUUGCUCUUGAAUCACUCACUACCCAAGCCUUCCACCCUCUUCUCCUUUCUUUCCUUAGCCGAUUCUCUCUAUUUUUCUUUUCAAAUGCAUGGUGGCAAGGUGAAAAUGGCAUGGGAGCAAGAAAAUGGCAUGGGAGCAUGAAGGUGAAGAAGAAAAUAUCUUUUGGGUGGAGAUAAAAACCAGCCAUGAGAUAAGAAUGAAAAGUUAAAGCUUCCUUUGGAAGCUUUGACCAAACUAAUGCAAAAUUAUCAUUUUACCCUUCAAGUUUUUCACCCUUUUUAAUUGUGUCCUCCCACAAUCUUUUAAUUCCAAUUUUUUUCCAUUUUUCUUCCUUAACACUUGUAUAAAUAAAAUAUCAAGUUUAUGCUUUAACGUGGUAUCAUUGCAAUAUUUAAAUAUUUACUUACUCGCACUAGCUUUAUUUAAUAAAGACAUGCAAGCCCCAUUAACGUCAUUUUUUUCUGAAAUUUCCUUGUUCUUCUUCUCCCCCACUUAGAUUGACCAUAUACUUCUUCUUCAUGGAAGAUUCGACUUUGAAUAAAAUAUUAAUAAUUUAAUAUUCUUUUAUUCCAAAAUUUUCCACUUGUCUCCUUAACAACCAAAAUGUCUUAUUAUGGCCCAAUUCACUCCCGAAUCACUUUUUAUCUCACUAAUUCAUCCUCAAUAAAUAUAUUAUUAUUUAAUUAUUAUUUCCUCGCGUGUGAAAUAUUUUAUUCCAAACUAUGCUUUUCACCCUUCAUCACUCUUAAACACUCUAAUUAACCUCAGUUGGCAUCCGAUAAGCUUUAUUAGCCAACAUAUCAAAGUAUGAGGUAUUAUAGGUACUGCACUCUUUAGUAAUUGCAACCAUUUCAAAGUCUUCCAACUUCUUCUUUUUGGUUAAGAUGUCUUUUAGAAAUUUAACAUAGCUUGGUACGUUUUCCAAAGCUUCAGCAAGAGGAAUAGUUAUGUGGAGCUUCUUAAAGAUAUUGAGAAAUUUCUCACACUGCUUAUUCAGCUUUUGUUUUUGCCACUUUUGUGGGAACGGUGGUGGAAGAUAAUUUACUGGAGACUUCACUUGAUUUUUAGCUUUCCAGCAUCAUUCUUUUCAACUUUAACUUUUUUCUCAACAGUUACCUCCUCAUCAUCCACAUUCUCUUUUGAAACUUCAAUUGAUUUUUCCUUUACCCCUUCAACUUCUUUCCCACUUCAAGGGUAAUUGCAUUGCAUUGUUCUUUACUUUUGAGAUUGAUUUGUAUGUCACUUGGUAAGGCACCUUGGAGUUUAUUGUUGAUGGAAUUUGCAAGCUAUCCCAUUUGGGUCUCAAGAUUUUUUAAGGAGGCUCCAUUGCUUUGAAUUAUAGCAUCAUUCUUUGAUAUAUAUUGAAUGAGAAACUCUUCCAAUUGAGACUUCUUUUCAAAAAUUGGUGGUCUAGCUUGUUGUUGAAACCCAAUGGGCAUGAUGGGUUUCAGAUUUGAAAGCCCUGAAUUAUUGUUCCAUGAAAAGUUUAAGUGAUUCCUCUACCCAUGGUUAUAUGUAUAAGAGUAUGGAUUAUUUUGCUGCUUGUUGAAGUUCCCUACAAAUUGAACUGAUUUGAAAUUGUAUGGACAUUCAUCAUUUGAGUGCCCAUAUCCACAUAUCUCACAAACUACAAAUGAAUUUUGGACAGUGUGAACUCCCAGAGUGUUAAACUUCUUGGAUAAUGCAACUACUUGUGUAGUUAAGACGCUAAGUGCAUCCAUUUCAUAUGCUCUAAUAGCUUUUCUUGGACCAGACCUUUUCAAAGCCCAUUGGUAAUUAUUUGAGGCCAUAUCUUCCAACAAAUUAUAAGCAUCUAUAGCAUUCAUACCCAUUAAUGCCCUUCUAGCAGUAGCAUCAAUUAUGGUUUUUAUUGAACUAAUAAGCCCAUUGUAGAAUGUCUGAAUUUGUAACCAAUCAGGAAUCCUAUGAUGUCAACAUCUUUUUAGUAGUUCUUUAAAUCUCUCCUAAGCUUCAUACAGAAAUUCACCUUCAAAUUGUGUGAAUGAGGUUAUAGCAUUCCUCAUCUUUGUAGUCUUGGAAAGCGAAAAGAAUUUUGCUAGAAACUUUUGAGCCAAGUCCUCUCAUGUAGUAUAGACCCAUUAGGUAGUGAAUUGAGCCAGCUCUUUGCUUUAUCCCUCAAAGAAAACCAAAAUAGUCUCAAUCUGAUAGCAUCAUCAGUUAUUCCAUUAUAUUUGAAUGUAUCGAAAAUUUCCAAAAAACUAACCAAAUGAGAAUUAGAAUCAUCACUGGGUAACCCACCAAAUUGUACUGAAGAUUAAAUCAUCUGAAUGUAAGCUGGCUUAAUUUCAAAAUUAUUUAUAUUGAUGGAAGGUCUUCUAAUGCUUUAGUGUAAACCUUGCAAAAAAGGAAUAUCAUAAUCCCACAGUGAUUUAUUUUCUGUUGGAACUAGAUUAAUGGCAUUAUUGCCAUUAUUGUUGUUAUUCUCAGCCAUUGUUUGAUUUAAAGUUGCAACUUGCAAAUUCUCCCUUCGACGUCUUUGAAAGUUUUUUAUAUCUCGAGAUCAAAAGGAACUGUAGUACCCCAUACCUUGAUAUGAUGGCUAACAAUGCUAUUUUUAUGUUAUUUAUAUUUAUUUUACGUUUUUAUAGGAGUAGGAUCAAAAAUAAUUUCAAUUGGUGAAGAAAGGUGCACAAUGGACUGUUGCUCUAUUUGCAUAUGUUUCGUUUUUUCAAGUAUAUCUCCCACUACAUAAGUCCAAAUGGCAUGAUUUUUUUACCAUUAGAAAGAUAAUAGGUAUGGAUACAACUUUGAUGUUGACUACUUUUCCCAGUUCUAGCAAGAAGGUGGUCAAAAUCUUUGUAGAAGUGAAAGUACUGCACUAGAGGAAUAGAAUUUGGCAGAACCUUUGAGAGCUGCGACGCUGGAAAUUGAGAGCCGCGACCUUCAUUGUAUUUUCCACAAUUAACUAGUUUAUGGGACUUUGGAAGCUAGGGCUUUUGGGAGGCUAUUCAAGGGACCUUUUUAGAGGAUUUUGGACCCUUUCUCAAUGUCAAAAGAAUAAAAAGAUUGCACAAAGGGUAAGAGUAAGAUAAGCCACCUUGUUAAGGGCAUUAUUGUAAUUGCAUAAAAAAUUGGAUAAGCUUUGGCUAUAAAUGUCAUUUUCCAGCAGCUUCCACCAGCUUCUAGCAACUUCUUUUUUCUUCCUCCCCACCCAACGCCAUAUUCACCUUUACCACCAUGGAAAUGGAGUUUUUCAAUUUCUUUUCCUUUUUUUCUUCUUGUUUCAUUUCUUUUCUUGCUUCUUUCUUCUCCAAACUUCUUGGGAACUGAAUUUGCAGCUUCUGACCCCAAUUUUCAGCACAUCUAAACCUUAGGAGAGAGAAAAAAAAUCUCUCCUUGUUUCUUAUUCUUUCUAUUUCUAUUUCACUUUCAACAACACUUGGUUUUUGGCUUCAAAUCUUCAUUUUUAAGGUUGAAAGGUAUAUAUAUUUCCAAAAUUUGGAAUUUUUGAAUUUAUGGUUAUAUUUUCAGAUUUAUUCCCUAAUUUCUUCAAAUUAUUUUCCUUGGAAAGAUUAGGUUUUCCGUUGAUCUUCAUGCCUCCAAGCUCAUCCAGGUAACGAAAUUUUAAAUUGGAGUAGUUGGCCAAAUGGGCUUGUGAAUUAGACUAGAAACUUAGGUUAAAUGUUAGGUUAGAGGGUAGAUUGCCUAAAGUAAAUUCAUUAGAAUUAUUUUAAUUUAUGACUUAAUUGAGGUUGUUAUGGUUUAUUGAUAAAUAUAGGUUUUAAUGGUAUUUCGGGACUACUUGGAUUAGGACCUUGUUGGUGCUAGUUUUGUCAGGUGAGUGAACUUGCAUUUUAAAAUGUUUUGGGGAAAUGUUUACGUGUUUCAAUGAAUCAUUUGUAAAUUUUAUCGAUUUUUGCUUUAAAAUUGCCUGGGAACAAGCCCUUGAUAAAAUGUUUGAUGUUGUGAAAUGUGAAAUGUGUAAAAGGAUGAAUCCAUAUGUUUUUGUAAGAUGUUGAUAUAUAUAUAUGUAUACUAUGUCAUAAAUGGUACCAUUGUAUGAUAAAUGCAACUGUGCAUGUGCGGGGUGAGUGUGCACUUGCCGGUGGUGACGGUGGUGAGAGAGAUGGAUGGUGAUACUGUUCGGCUAUGUGCACGAUAUGGUGGAAUGCAUAUGAGCUGGGUGAGAUAGGAUGUCCUGCUAUGUGCAUGAUGUGGUGGAUGCACAUGAGCUGGGUGAGAUGCACAUGAUGAAUCUUAAAAAUUUGUCAUUAUUUGCAAAUUGAUUUUAUUGCAAUGAGAAACAUUCUGUUUAUACUGCCUUACUUGGAUAAUUGCUUACAAUUUCCCUUCUUUCCAAUUUCAUGCUGAAUACGGUUCCUUCAUCAUUAAAUGAUUUUACAACCAAGGGUUUAAUGGAGGGAUUUUAAUAAGAACUAAACUAACUGGCAUAGUUUUUAAAUAAGUGCAUCAUGUUUUCUAAACCAUUCCUUGUCACUGCUUGUUCCCUUCCUAUGUUCACUCACUGAGUUUGUACUCACGUUUUUAAAAUUCAUGUUUUAGGUUUCCCGAGUUAAAGGUGAUUGGAUCCUAGGAUAAGGUACUCUUCCUUAUCCAUUGGUUAGUAGGCUUACCAUGACAUUAAAUGUUAGCAACCACAAACAGAGUCACUUCGCUGAUAGUCAAGGCCUAAUUAUAUGUAUAUGAAUACUUGAGGUGAAAUACUAAUGUGAGACCCUGUCAAGCUCGAUUAAAAGACGGUAUUGUACCGAGUGGUACAACUAAGUUAAAUCGAGCCUUGAACUAGUUCAAAUAGAAAUUCUAAGAGGAAUUUGAAAAUUUUAAAACCAACAGAAUGGCUUAGAAUAGUGAUUUGGAGUUCAAGGUCCAGUUUGGAGUCCAUCAGAAAAUUGACCAAUUAGGGACAAAACGGUCAUUUUACCAUUUGAUGAUAAAAUGGAGAUUUUUAGCCAAGAUUUGAUCACAUUUGACCAAGAAUAAUUAUAUGAAAUAUAAUUAUGAUUAUUGGAGUAUAAAAUGAUGUUUAGCAGUGAAAAAUUGUGAUUCUCGGUAUUUAUGGAGCACAAGGGCAAAAUGGUAAUUUUGCCACUAAAGGACUAAACGAAAAUUUUUUUAAACAAUUUUUGCCCCAUUUGGUUAAUAUUGAUCAAUAUUAGUGUUAUUUUAGGUUGAAAAGUAGAAAUAAUGAGAUUCCGGUACAUUUCGGAGUAAAAGGGCAAAAUAGUAAUUUUUUUGCCCCAGGGGCAAAUCGGUAAAUUUUUCACCCCAGCACUUGUCAAGACCAAGGGAUUUUAAUUGUGGUAGGAUUGGAUAAAUACCAGAAUAUUUGUGGUGGAAAAUUAAGAAGAAAAAGUCAAAAAGUUAAAAAUUGGGCCAAUAAGCAUGUGACACAUGGCAUGCUUGAUUAUUUUAUUAUUUUCUAUAGAAAUCAGCCCAUUAAAUCCCCAAUUCCCUCACCAUAUUCGGCCUAGGCAUCCAGCAACAAGAAAAAAGGAAGAACAAAAGGAAAAACAAGAAAACCUAGGUGGAAAUUCAAAGAAAAAGUGAAGAAAUCAAGGAAACAAGCUAGGUAAGUUAAAAUUUCUUUAAUUCUCCUUGAUACCUAGCUUACCCAUGCUUUUGUUCUUGAUUUCCAUGGUUGAAUAUUGAGUUAUCAUGAUGAAUUCAAUUCUGAAAAAUGGGUAUGGAAGAGGAAUUGUUGUUGGAAUAAUUUGAUUUUAGACUAUGUUAGUGUUUAGGGAUAGUUAAGCAUGGUUAUGAACAAAAACACAAAAGAAAUAUUCAAUUUCUCUAGGGUUCCUUGUUGGCCGAACCAUGAGGGCUGAAUAUCAAUGGGGGAUUGUUUUUAUUUCAAGGAAAAUGGCAUGGAAAAUGAUGAAUUAAGGUGAAACGGUUAUGUAGAAAAAAAUUCGAUGCUAGUGCACCAAAUGACCAAAUUUUUCUAUAAGGAACUGUGAGGGUUCUAAUGCUGAAUUUGGCUUUAUUUAAAUGUAUGUGGUAAAUUAAGGUAUUAGAGGAGAAAUGAAUUAAUUUGGAGGUGAUUUGGACACAAUCGCCGAUUAAUCGGGUGAUCGGUCGAAUUUAAUCGAUACCGUGAUUAAGCGGUAAUCAGACAUAUUUUUGCAUUUACAUAUCAAGCAUUAGUAAUUUAAAUUAAUUUAUAUCAAUUUAGGGACAAUAUAGUAAAUUCCUUGACUUUGUUAUUUGUCAAGGUGGUGAGACGUCCGGAAAAGGCAAAGGAAUUGCGCCUGAGGGCUAUUAGUCCGAGUGCACCCGGAAUCUGGAUUUUUGAUACCGGUGAGUGGACUUGCAUUUCAAACUUGUUUUGGGAAAUAUGAAAGAUUCUAUCCAACUUGUCUUAGAAAAUGUACCUUGGGAACAAGCUUUUAGUAAAAUGAUUUUAUAUUGUGAAAAUGUGCUAUACAAUGGUUUAUGUGUUAUCACAAUAUGAUAAUAUGCAUUGGAUGCUUCUUUACAUGUUGAUUUGAACCCGGCUAUGUGCGAGUAGGAGUGCACAUAAGCCGUUGCUGACCCGACUAUGUGCGAGUAGGAGUGCAUAUAAGCCGUUGCUGACCCGGCUAUGUGUGAGUGGGAGUGCACAUAAGCCGUUGUUGCCCCCAUAGCUUAUAGGGCUGGAUGCUUCGUGAUCUUCCACCCUAUGAGUGCUUUGAUAGGUAUGAUCUGUGGCGAAGUAUGACUCUCCACCCAAGAGCUUGGAAGAGGAGGGAAGGGACUGCUCCGUUGCUUCGUGAUCCGGAGUGAAGUGCACCUCUUGCCGAGUGAAGGGGGGGAUGCUUCGUGAUCUCCCACCCCCUAGUGACAAUAGCAUAAGCCGUUGCAUAUGAGAUGAUGAUGAUGGGAUGAUGUGCAUGAUGAUGAUGAUGGGAUGGUGUGCAUGUUGAUGAUGGGUAUAUGGUUGUAAAUGCAAAUAUGUAAGCAUUUGUUUUGUUGAAAUUUGGAAGUUUACAUGUGUUACAUGUUGCUAUUGUUAUUUUAGCAGGAUGACUUGUUUUAAGGGAAAAAGGAGACUUUUUCCUUGAUGUUCUGGUUCUCGCUGCAGCGAGAAUGAAGUUCGCUACAGCGAGAAACUUUCUGUCCAUUUUGCUAACUUGUGGGUUUUUGCCAUAUUUCCCAUUUCUUUGGUACCAUAGUUGAGCAUGGAUUUUUGUAAAGUGAUUUACUCAUGUGGGAUUUACAUGAGGGGUUUAAAGAGCUAAAACAAUUGCAUGGUUUUGAGAAAACGAAUGCAUCAUGAUUUCAAUAAACAUUCCUUAUGGUAUGCUUGUUCCCUUCCUUGUUCACUCACUGAGUAUUGUACUCACGUUUUAUAAAAAUUCAUGUUUUCAGAUCAGGUGACUGUUGGACCCUAGAUCGAGGAGUCCCCGUAGUGCAUCUCCUGGGUAUGUGUCUGGCAUUCGAUAGUAAUCCCUUUUAUUGUAAAUGUCUCCGCUGGAAGUCAUGGGUCCUUUUGUAUUGUGAAUACAAUCUAACAAUGUGAAUAUGUGUAUGCAAUGUAAAUUGCUAAAUACAUGACUGGUAUAGUGCAUGUAUAUUAUUAUCGAUAAUGCCAUUGUGUUUUGGCUAUGUUCACACCCGAGAAAAGGUGUGUGUGUAUGCAUGAUAUGAUAAAUUUGUUAAGCAAAGGUAAAUGGAUAGGCUUGCUUGGGCUUAGUGAGCUAUGCUCAUUGAGCUCAUGUGCCGGUCAUUGCCCGGGAAAUUGGGUCGUGACAACUAAGAUUCAUUUGUCAAGCUAUAUAUGUACAUUAUGGUAGAUGAUGCCAUUAUGAAAGCAUAAUUGGGUUUUAUGAAUUGUUUUCAAAAGGACUAUUUGAACAUUAUGAAUCUUGGAUUUUAAAGGGACAUGAAUUACUGUAUAAGAUUAUACAAGAAGGCUUGCUUGGGCUUAGUGGGUUGAGCCCAUUAGGCCCAUGCGCCGAUCAUGGCCCAAAAAUUGGGCUGUGACAGGAAGAAGAAUCAAAUUGGUUUUUCUUUUCAUACAAUGAUCAAAGACAUCUGCAAGCAAACAAAAACUAAUAUUAAAACAAGAAAAAUAAAAUUUGAAGUAAGACUAAAUUGCUUGGUAUGAAUAUUAGUUAAAAUUCUAGAAACAAUUUCUCAACAACAGUGUCAAAAACUUGUUAGUUAAAUUUCUACCUACACAAGUAUACGCAUCAAAAAGAUAGUAUAACGGUAAGCAGAGUAUCAAUCCCAUAGUGAAUUGAUUUAAAAUUUUACUAAGUACUAAAAUUAGAACAAUUUAAUCUUAUCCAAAUAAUCAAAAUUAAUUAAUUGCUUAAAACAAAUUGACCAAAAUUUAAACUAAAAAGAAAAAUCAAAGUAACAAUAACUUGAGUAAAAAUCAAAUCAAACAAGCCUAAGAUUACAAUAUCCCUCACACUUCAUCUAAAUCUUACCUCUAUUCCUUAACUUAUUUCAAUAGGUUGAAUUGCUAACCUAAAGUCCUCAAUUAUUUAUAAAGGUCUCCUGACUCGUCUUAUAAAAACAUCUAUUUUAAUCAAAACACUAUAUUCUUAUGUGAAUUGAAAUUAAAACAGACUCAUUAAGUUCAAGCUCUAAUUUUGGCUACAUAUGGCAUAUGUGUAUAUCUUUAUCCUCUACACAAAUCAAUUACUAUGAUCAUAUGCUAUCCCAAUUUUAGUUUACAGUAAACUCCCUUUGUCACAACCCAAUUCUCGAGCCAUGAUUGGCGCAAGGACCCAAUAGGCAUAGCCCACUAGGCCCAAGCAAGCCUUUCAAUAUGCACUUGUAUAUUAACCCAUCUAUCUAGCAUAUUUCUUUAAUAUCUGUACUUAAUAGUGUUCAAAUGUCGAUUUCUCCAACAUAACUCAUAAAACCCAAGUGAAUGCUCACAUUAGUAUCAUAAUUCAAAUCAUACAUAAAUAGUUGUCAAUAUAUCUUUGCUAAUUCACACAAAACAUAUACAAAGACUUUGACCGUUAGCGGAGUGACUCUAGAUGGGGAGAUAUGACUACUGAGUGUCAAGAUACCUACCCAAGGGAUGGGGGUACGCGGACACCUCAAUCUACAUAUCAACCACCACUGAAUCUGAAAACAUGAAGUUGAAAGCGGUGAGCAUAAACUCAGUGAGUGAACAAGAAGGGAACAAGCAUACCAUAAGGAAUGUUUAUCAAAAACACGAUGCACUCAUUUUCUCAAAACAAUGCAAUUUGUUCUAGUUCUUAGUAUAACCCCUCAUGUAACCCUCAUGAGUAAAUCACUUAAAAGAUCCAUACUUAACUGUGGUACUAAAGAAUAAAAAAAUAUAGCAAAACCCACAAGUUAGCCAAAAUGGACAGAAAGUUUCUCGUUGUAGCAAGAACCAGAUCUGGUGAUGGCCCUCAAACUCGAGAGUUUCUCGCUGCACCGAGAGUUAGAACAUCAAGGAAAAAGUCUCAUUUUCCUUUAAAACAAGCCAUCCUGCUAAAAUAACAAUAGCAACAUGUAACAGAUGUAAACUCCCAAAUUUCAACAAAUCAAAUGCUCACAUAUUUACAUUUACAACCAUAUACCAUAUAUCUAUGUAUAUAUAUAUCAAUCAUCAUGUACACCCUCCCAUCAUCAUCAUCUCAUAUGCAAUGGCUUAUGCGUACUCCCACUCGCAUAUAGCCGGGUCAGCAACGGCUUAUGUGCACUCCCACUCACACAUAGUCGGGUCAGCAACAACUUAUGUGCACUCCCAUUCACUCAUAGCCGGGUCAGCAACGGCUUAUGUGCACUCCUACUUGCACAUAGCGGGGUCAACAAUGGCUUAUGUGCACUACUACUUGCACAUAGCCGGGUCCACAUCAACAUGCAAAGACGCAUCCAAUGCAUAUCGUGCAUUUUAUCAUAUUGUGAUAACACAUAAACCAUUGUAUAGCACAUUUUCACAAUAUAAAAUCAUUUUACUAAAAGCUUGUUCCCAAGGUACAUUUUCUAAGACAAGUUGGAUAGAAUCUUUCAUAUUCCCCAAAACAAGUUUGAAAUGCAAGUCCACUCACCUUACGAUAGCGAGAUGUUACAUCGUUAUUAGCUCAAAGGUGUAUCUAGCUAUUUCUACUUGUCGGGUGCUCGUUAUUCCCUCUGGCAUGCCACCACAGUACUCUAACCUUAUCUUUGCACUUCCUAACAAUAAUAUGAACUCAAUAUAUUUAAUUAUAUACGUAUAUGGGCAGCACUUCAAUCAAUUAAUCCUUACUCAAAUUUAUAUUUUUCAUCCUAUCAUGAAACCAUCUUCAACUAACUCACAUCUUAAUACUUUUUUACCAAACUUAUUUAUAUCCAUUGCUUACGAAAUUCCUUAAAUUAUAUCACCGGCAACUUAUUUAUGAUGUCAUGUGCCUACUUCAACCUUUCUCAAUAAUUUUCGCCCAAAUCCAUCUUAUAUUUCCACACAUAAUCCACAUAUAUGGCAGCAACAAUCAUUCUCACUUUCACUCGAUUAUUUCCUAGUUUACAUGCAUCGUUAUCUAUCUAACUUUCAAUACUUUGUUUCUCAAUCCUCCGUCCACAAUAUUCCUUUUUCAUUUCUUUCAAACAACAUGCCAUAAAAUCUUAAUAAUUUUCAACUAGCUUAGGCAAAUAAAUCCUUUCAACAACCAUAAUUCCUCACAAUAUUCAACUAACCGUAGGCUUUAAAACAUAGUGUUAAGCUUACCGUUUUCCUUUUCCACUUUGAGUCCUUCAUGUACUAAUGGGCUUAUUGGCUUACAUGUUACCAAUUUUUCUCCAAUCUUUGCUGCCACAAGACAUUUCUCUAAGUCACUAACUCAUUUUCAAAAACUACUCAAGCCAAAAACAAGAAUUCUUACUGUUCCUUGCUUGAAUCACCAAAACCAAGCUUUUUCUUCCUUUCUCUCUUUUUCUUUCUUCUUUUCCUUGAGUUUAUAUGUGCUGGAAAUUGGGGUUAGAAGUUGUAACAUUGGUGCACAAGAAGUUGGGAGAAGAAUGAAGCAAGAAGGGAAAAGAAAUGAAAAGAAAAUAAGGAAAAAAAAUGAAAAAAAAUUAGCUUUCCAUGGGAGAAUGAAAGAAUAGCGUUGGAAGCUUCAAGAAUGAAGAAUAAAAUAUCUUGCUAGGAGGAUAAGGACGGUUUUGGGCUGAUAAAGAUGAGAGUCAAAGCUUCCUUUGGAAGCUUUGACCAAACUUUAUGCAAAAUUAUCAUUUUACCCUUUAAGUUUCUUUCCAUUUUAAUUUAGUCCUCCCAACACUCGUUUAACUCCAAUUUCCUUUUAUUAUCUUCUUCUACAUAUGUACAAACAAAGUAUGAAGUUUGUACUCCAAUGCGGUGUCUUCAUAAUAUUUAAAAUAUUUAUUUGCCCGCGCUAUCUUUACUUAAUAAAGACAAGCGACCCCAUUCAUAUCAUUUUUAUCCAAAUUUCUCUCAUUCUUUUUCUUCCCCACUUAGAUUGACCAUAUACUCCUUUUUCAAGGAAAAUUUUGACAUUGAAUAAAUAUUAAUAUUUUAAUAUUAUUUUAUUAAUAAAAUAUUAUUUUAUUUCAAAAAUUUUCUCUUGUCUCCUCUUGUCCCCUUGGUACCCAAAAUACCUUAUUUGGCCUCAAUUGACUUCUGAAUCACUUUUUAUCUCACAAAUUCUUCUUCGAUAAAAAUAUCAUUAUUUUAUUAUUAUUUUCUCGUGUGUAGAAUAUUUUAUCCCAAACUAUUCCUUUCAUCUUUCAUCAUUUCUUAACAUCAUAAUUAACCUCAAUUGGCAUCCAAUAAGUUUUUAUUUGUCACCAUAUCAAAGUACGGUGUAUUAUACCCUUCCCCAAGUUUGUUUAGAUUCCUAUAUCAAUUUAAUUGGUGGCCAAUCAAUUGAAAAACAUUAAGAACAAAUUGCAAUAACAAUUCAAAUCCCAUUAAAGAUAAGCAAGAAAGAGAUUAAAAAUUUAGAUUACAUUUGAGUUCAAUGCAAUCCUAGAAAAAUAAAAUUAGCUACUCAUAAUUGCAAAGACAAAUAACAAUAUAUAAAUUUAAACCAUUAAGAGUAACAAGAAAAAUAAAAGUUACGAAAGAAAAGAAACAAUUAUUUGCAGCUUUGCUUUUCGAGUUUUUGCCUUAACUUUUUACUUCUUGAAUCUCUAAGGGUUGUCUACCUUAAUUUCUCCUAAAAAUAUCAUAUUUAUACUAACAAUCUAAACCUAAAAUUUCUUAAGUUAACCUACUAACUCUAACUUUUGGGCUUAAAAAUGUAAUAAGGCCCAAACAUCAAAUAUCAUCUUUAAAAUUGCCAUUCUCGCAGCAUUACGCCCUAUCAUCUUCUAAUAUGAUUUUCUCUAUCUUCGAGAUAGAACUAGGCAAAGUCAUCUGAUGAGAGUUGUAGCUCUAUCUCUUAGCUUUCCAACGAUGUAAAAAUCACAUUAUUUCAAGUUAUGAUCAUAGCACUAAAGUAUAUACGAGCAGAAUUCUAGGUCCUUCAAACACCGUACUUUUCAAAAUUAAGCCAUAUUCCCUUAAAUUCUACAAAAGCAUAAAAACUAAUAAAUAAUAGCCAAAUUAAAGUGAAUAAACAUAAAAUCAAAACAACUCACUAAAAUAAAAUAAUUAGAAAAACUACUAAAAAUAACUAAAUUAUAAUUAAAAAUUAAGGACUUAGCUAAUAUUUAAAAACAAAAUGAGAUUAAAAUAAUUCUAUAAAAUAGAAUUAUCAGCUUUUUCUCAAGUAUAUGGACUUUAACUUGUAAUUGAAAACUAGUAUGGAAAAUAGACUGUGAUGAAUAUGUAGUAUAGUGGUGAGUAUUCUCGCUUAUCAUGCAGAUGACUUGGGUUCAAUCCCCAACAAUGAUAUCAAAAACUUAUUGUCUAAUUUUCUACCCAUGCAAGUAUACGUAUUGAUCAGAUAAUUUAAUGGCAAGUAAAGUGUCGAUCCCACAAAGAAUUGAUCUAAAAUUUCACUAAUUACUAAAAUUAUAAUAAAAUUGGAUAAAAAUCAACCCAAACAAGCCUAGGAUUAUAAUAUUUCUCACUCUUCAUCUAAAUCUUACUUCUCUCUCUUAACUUAUUCCAAUCGGUUGAAUUGCUAACCUAAAGUCCUCAAUUAUUUAUAAGGCUAUCUUGAAACUCCUAUAAAAAUCUAUUUUAAUCAAAAUACUAUAUCUCUAUUUAUAUUGAAAUUAAAACAGACUCAUUAAGUUCAAGCUUUAAUAUCGGCUACAUACGGCAUAUAGGUAUAUCUCUAUCCUAAAAACAAAUAAAUAUGAUCAUAUACUAUUCUAACCUUGACCUACACUAAACUCCCUUUCUCAAGUUAUGUUUAAGUUUCUAAAUCAAUGUAAUUGAUGAUCAAACAAUUAAAAGCAUUAAGAACAAAUUGAAAUAAAUAAUUCAAUUCCAUUGGAAAUAAACAAGAAAGAGAUUAAAAAUUUGAACUACAUGUGAAUUUAAUUACAAUCUUAAAGAAAAAAAAUUAACUACUCAUAGUGAAAAUAAAGAAUAUAAAACAAUGAAAUUUAAUGAUCUCAAACAAAAGAAACAAGAAAACUAGAGAGCAAAAAAAAAAACUAGAGAUUAGUGAUCUUCAAUCUUACUCAUAAUGAAAAUAAAGAAUAUAAAACAAUGAAAUUUAACGAUCUCAAACAAAAGAAACAAGGAAACUAGAGAGAGAAAAAAAACUAGAGAUUAGUGAUCUUCAAUCUUCCAUGGUUGAUCUUGUUUUUCUUCUUGAGUUUUUGAUGGCUAAUCUCCUCCUAAAAUAACCCAAAACUGAUUUCCUCUAGCCUCCCCUUCAAUUUGGCUUCAUAAGGAUGUAUUUAUAAGGCUCACAAACAUAAUUUCAAUCCUAAUUCGAACUCCCAUCUUUGCAAAGGUGUCUUUACAAACCCGAGGUGCCACGGUGCUGGCUUUCUAGAGUCAUGGCAUUGACUUGCCAUGCAUUUUUCUCCUUCUUCAAAGUAAAACUGGUCAAAGUGGUUAAAAAUGAAAGUUGUAAAAGUCCUUCAAAGCAUACCUUUAGAGGCACAACUUAAUCAUUAACAGGCUUUCUUAAUUAAUUUAACUUUUAACUUAGCCUAAAAUAAUCUAAAUUUAAUUGACCCAACAUAAUUAACUAUAAUUAAAUAAAUAACUGCAAACACCUAAAAUCUAUACUAAAACUCAAGAACCUAGCAACUUGAUAGCUAAAAUUAAGACCAAAUAACUCUAUAUCUUAGGGUUGUCACUAGUGACAGUAAACAUUAACCAUUGUGCACAAUGCUUUGUAUCCUCAGAAUCGAUGGCUAUACGCUGGGACACCUUUGUUAUUCAGUCAAUGGCUAUAUGCCCGAGACUUAUUUAUUUAUUAGUUCCUAUUAAUUAGUGCUCCAUGAAUCAUUUAAUGAUUAUUUGACAUAAUAUGUAUAUUUUUGGAUACGAUCCUAUCCCUUUUGAUAUAAAGGAUUUUGGGCUUGUUUGAGGUCCUAGAAUGUAUCAAUAGAUGCCCUUCAGAGGUCUUCAGAUUUGCAUUUUGUUUAAAAUCUAUCAAUACAACCGAGCAAUGUAUCCAUAGAUUGGGCUUAUUUUUUAAAUCUUACAGUUUUUAAAGAACUUUUCAAAUAUAACUUGUCACGACCCGGAACUCCCCAUCGGGCCUGUGACAACCGCCGCGAAGUCUCGACAGACAUUCUUCACCCCGAAUGUCGAUCGAAACCUCGCAAGGCUCUCGUAUCAGCUUUCGCACUUCCCCGAUGAGCAAUAGUUAUCAAAUAUCAUAAUUCGAAGAAUUACGAAUCAUUUCCAAAUCAGAACAUAACAUAUUGUUUUCUGGCUCACAGAGGCAUUUUCGUCAUUUUGUUUUGAAAAUCUCAAAACUUACUAAAAAUGUAGUAGGUAGGCAAAAAAUAUAUAUUUAAUGAUUUAAAAACAAAUUAAGUAUUUAAAACGUUCAUUUGAAGUGAAAAUUUGACCAUUUGAAUAUAAUAAAAAUAUUCAAUAAAAUAAACUAUUUUCUUGUAAAAAAAAUUUUAUAAAGCUAUCGGUACAUAAUUCUUAUAGCGUAAAAGUUAAUUAUAGUCAUAUAUACUAUAAAGCAAAUAACCAAAGCAUAAAAUUUCUUUUACAGUGACAUGUGGGCCCACAUUUAACCAAAAUGCAUCGGAAGCUGGAAACCUACAGCUUUUACCGAUUCGAGUCCAAAUGAAGGUCCUUGUCAAAGUCAGCUAACUAUGGAAUUUCCUGAGCCUAAAAUGUGAGGAAAUGAGGGUGGUGAGAUUGUAAAAUCCCAGUGAGUAAACAGAUACCAUCUAAACUAUCUAAAGUCGAGUAAAUUGACACAAUUAAAAUAAGUCAUCAUACUGUAAUUUCAUUACCUUUCAACCAAAUAAAAUCAAUCCAUAUAAAUCGACUAAUCAACUUGGCUUAUGAAUUUGUUAAAACUUUGGCUCGUGCCAAAACUCAUACUCGGUGAUACCUUGCACAGGGCAUCCUACCGAGUCCGCCAAGGCUGUUAAAAUUUUGUAUAUACGUAAAACAUAUCUUUAGUUUGAAAAAUACAACCAUUCCUUGGCGUUGGCUAAGUUCCCCUUCACGUGGUGGUUUAGCUUGAAGUGAACCCUAAGCUUUACCCCAAGAGAAACCCUACGCGCCUCUCUGUUCGAGGUAAGAAUAUAAUGGGGUUUACCGUGUCCCUCUAAAAGGCUAGUCCAUAGAAACCCCCUACUGCGGUGAUUAAUUAAUAUAUAAUCCACCAAUUCAAUAAAAUUCAAUAAUAUGAUAUGGCAAUUUAUCGCAACCUAGCCUCUAAAGGUUGAAUACACAGUACAAAUAAUUCUAACACCAAAAUCAGUUUAGUCAUUCAUGCUCAUAUAUUGUCAUAAGCCAUUCAAUUUAAAACCAUAAAUUUUCAACACAAGCAGGCAGUCUCCAAUUACUCUAUUUUCAAAACCAGUAGUCGAUUUUUUAGAAAAUUUAUAAAAUCACAAUCUCUCCUAAAACAUAGCAAUUUACCAUUUAAACCCUUUUUGUAUAAAAUCACACAAUUGUAUAAAACUACUCUAGAUAAUUAAGACAAUAAUAAGUUCACUUACAGUUCUAAGAGUCGAUAUACUCCUAACCCCAGUCUUCAAGCACAAUCUCUGUACUUUUACCAGUGUAAUUUGCUCACCAC
rnacentral:lncRNA from 1 species